GACGAACGCUGGCGGCGUGCUUAACACAUGCAAGUCGAACGGAAAGGCCCUGCUUUUGUGGGGUGCUCGAGUGGCGAACGGGUGAGUAACACGUGAGUAACCUGCCCUUGACUUUGGGAUAACUUCAGGAAACUGGGGCUAAUACCGGAUAGGAGCUCCUGCUGCAUGGUGGGGGUUGGAAAGUUUCGGCGGUUGGGGAUGGACUCGCGGCUUAUCAGCUUGUUGGUGGGGUAGUGGCUUACCAAGGCUUUGACGGGUAGCCGGCCUGAGAGGGUGACCGGCGACAUGGGGACUGAGAUACGGCCCAGACUGCUACGGGAGGCAGCAGUGGGGAAUAUUGCACAAUGGGAGGAAGCCUGAUGCAGAAACGCCGCGUGCGGGAUGACGGCCUUCGGGUUGUAAACCGCUUUCGCCUGUGACGAAGCGUGAGUGACGGUAAUGGGUAAAGAAGCACCGGCUAACUACGUG
rnacentral:rRNA from 1 species